rnacentral:tRNA from 1 species
GGCUCCUUAGCUCAGAGGAUAGAGCGUGGGUUUCCUAAACCCUGCGUCCAAGGUUCGACUCCUGGAGGGGGCG